GGGUGGCCUGAAGAGUCCACUGCCUGGCACAUCUAGCUCUUAAAGACAUCCUCUCCUCUUCUUAAAAAGAAGAGAAAGUCUGACCAGGAGAUAAAAACCACCAACACCACCCCCAGAAACCCCACCUAUUACCAGUAACCCCCCAUCCCUGGGUCUCCCAAUGCACUUGGGUCUUGGAAGGGACCAGGUGUCUGGUGGCAGAGGUGCCAUUUCAAAUUCGAUAAGUUUGCAUAAAAACAAGACACACGAGUGAUUAUUUACCACCAGCAAGCGAUCAUCAAAUCAUGUCUAUGUUUUAAACUUAACUAGCUGUCUCAUCUGGUCUCAUGUUCCUGGAAUGUAGUUUCAAGGAUCCCCAAUCUGCCCUCUGAAGGCCUUGCCCCGUCAUGCCUCUAGGGGCAGGAGGCCCAUACUUCCAUGUCUUCUGACUCAGCUUGACCACAACAUGGGAUAUUUGAAAUCAGGGCUGCUGGGGAGAAAUUCCAGAAGGACGGCCGCCGCCCCUGGUCAAAACUCCUGGUUCUAGAACACAGGAGAAGCCAAAGGCCAACAGCAAGUCAGAGCUACGUGCCAAGCUUCACCCC
rnacentral:lncRNA from 1 species